GGAGGAGAAGAGCAUCUCCAUUCAGUUUAGUCUAAUACGAAACAACAAUGAUCUCCUCAGUGCUGCUGCUGCUGCUAACAGCUUUCAGUGGUGUAGACUGUGUGGAGCUCACUCAGGCUGCUUCUAAGGUAGUAAAACCUGGAGAAUCGUUCUCCAUCUCCUGUAAGACCUCAGACUCGAGCUACUGUAUUACUUGGAUACGGCAGCCUGCUGGGAAAGCACUGGAAUGGCUUGGAUAUCUGUGUAGUAGUGGUAGCACUAAUAUCAAAGACACAGUGAAGAGCAAGAUCAGUUUCAGUCAGGACACGUCCAGCAGCACAGUGUUUUUACAAGGCCAGAACUUUCAGUCUGAUGACACAGCUGUUUAUUACUGCGUCAGACAACCCACAGUGUUACAACCACCCAGCUGA